CCUACGUGUGGCUGCAGUGGGGAAUAUUGGGCAAUGGGCGCAAGCCUGACCCAGCAACGCCGCGUGAAGGAAGAAGGCUUUCGGGUUGUAAACUUCUUUUGUCAGGGAAGAGUAGAAGACGGUACCUGACGAAUAAGCCACGGCUAACUACGUGCCAGCAGCCGCGGUAAUACGUAGGUGGCAAGCGUUGUCCGGAUUUACUGGGUGUAAAGGGCGUGUAGCCGGCGCUGCAAGUCCGGAGUGAAAGCCCAUGGCUUAACCAUGGUACUGCUCUGGAAACUGUGGGGCUUGAGUGCGGGAGCGGCAGGCGGAAUUCCUGGUGUAGCGGUGAAAUGCGUAGAUAUUAGGAGGAACACCGGCGGCGAAGGCGGCCUGCUGGACCGUAACUGACGUUGAGGCUCGAAAGCGUGGGGAGCAAACAGGAUUAGAUACCCUAGUAGUC
rnacentral:rRNA from 1 species